CUGUAAAUGGACGAAACUGCUCUCAGACUCGUCAGUCCAGUCUUCGUUUUCUGACCUGACACUUUCCGCUGUUCGGUUUUCAAGACUUGAGUAUCCGUCUAAGUGUUUUUCGACGGUAUUUGCAUAACUAAAAAGAAUGCAAAUCCCGUACUUCAACAUGUUCUGGUUUAACGUUGCACUCUGGACAAUCCUUCUCCUGUUUUAUAUAGCUUAUUCUACAGCUUGGGUCGUCGAUCAAUGCAUCAUCUGCUGUAGAAGGAAGAAAAAGCAUCAGAAGUGUUCCCAUUCUAUAGAAAUGACAAGUGUCCAGGAUACUCUCUCGGACGACCGUCCUCAGACCGAAGCAGAGGUUUGUCCUCGCCACUCGACAACCUGCUCUACCCUCAAUGGACGUCAAGGCCUUCCUCAAGACGGGCAUACUCCGCGUCUUCAACAGACUGAAGAAGUAAGUGUAGCUUCGUCAGUUUCUAGAUGAUGAGACUGCAAUUUUAGACAUCUGAGAAUGAGAAAAUGGGACUUCCAGUAGCAGAAUCUCCAACAAAUUUUAAACUGAGAGAGCUUUUGGAAAAAUAGACAAGGAACUUCACGAUAUGAUGGUAACUGAUGUGGUAGUUUACUGUUGACUGGACGAAGAGUGUGAGCAUUGCAAGAUUAUAGGUUCUUACUACGGCAAAUUGCUGAUGCUGUGAUUAUCCGGGAAAAAUAAAUCCCAGGAAGGUAUCUUUCGACAUUCUAU